rnacentral:rRNA from 1 species
CCUACGGGAGGCAGCAGUAGGGAAUUUUUCACAAUGGGCGAAAGCCUGAUGGAGCAAUGCCGCGUGAAUGAUGAAGGUCUUAUAGAUUGUAAAAUUCUUUGAUUUGGGAAGAAAAACUAAAGUAGGAAAUGACUGUAGUCUGACUGUACUAUUUGACUAAGUAUCGGCUAACUAUGUGCCAGCAGCCGCGGUAUUACAUAGUAUGCAAGGGUUAUCGGGUUUUACUGGGCGUAAAACGAGCGCAGGCGGGAUAAAAAGUUUGGGAUGAAGGGGUUGUGCUUAACGAGAGUUUGAAGCAAAACCUGUAGAUCUAGAGUGUAGGAGAGAGAUCCGGAAUUCCUGGGGUAGCGGUGAAAUGCGUAGAGAUCAGGAGGAACACCGGUGGCGAAGGCGGCCUGCUGGACUGCAACUGACGUUGAGGCUCGAAAGCGUGGGGAGCAAACAGGAUUAGAUACCCCAGUAGUC